GUGUCCUCCUGGCGCCUGACCAGAGUCUUGGGGAAUUCGGUUGCUCUUGAGCAGUCACUUCCCCGAGCUGGCCGAGCCAUAUGCAGCAUCACCAGCUCCCCGAGCUUCCCUCGCAAGGGUCAGACGAGGCUCCCGAGCCCGGUCGCCCCAGUCUCUGGGAGCCCUGGGUCUUCACUGGACGAGGCUCUCGGCGCGCGGAAUUCUGGGAGUGGUAGUUUUCUUCCUCCUGGUUCCUUCCAGGUACACUGGUGGCUAAGACUCGCAGGACUACGAUUCCCAGACGCCCGAGCGAGUCUCAGGUCACGUGGCCGGCAAGGCCGUUGGGCGGGGGCCUGGCCGGUGCUCCGCAGCUGUCUGUGACACCCGGAGCCCGCGGGCCGCUUCGGCCCCCCAGAGAGCCCGGCAUGGUACGCGCGGGCGCCGUGGGGUCGCAUCUUCCUGCGUCCGGCUUGGACAUCUUUGGGGAUCUGAGGAAGAUGAACAAGCGCCAGCUCUAUUACCAGGUCUUAAACUUUGCCAUGAUUGUGUCUUCUGCGCUCAUGAUCUGGAAAGGCCUGAUCGUCCUCACUGGCAGCGAGAGUCCCAUUGUGGUGGUGCUGAGUGGCAGCAUGGAGCCCGCCUUUCACAGGGGCGACCUUCUGUUCCUAACAAAUUUCCGAGAAGACCCGAUUAGAGCUGGUGAAAUCGUUGUUUUUAAAGUCGAAGGCCGAGACAUUCCAAUAGUUCACAGAGUAAUCAAAGUUCAUGAAAAAGAUAAUGGAGACAUCAAAUUUCUGACUAAAGGAGAUAAUAAUGAAGUUGACGAUAGAGGCUUGUACAAAGAAGGCCAGAACUGGCUCGAAAAGAAGGAUGUGGUGGGGAGAGCCAGAGGGUUUUUACCAUAUGUUGGUAUGGUCACCAUAAUAAUGAACGACUAUCCAAAAUUCAAGGGAUUAUGUCUGAGCUGAUGCAGCCCUUGCACAGCUGCUCAUAACCACGACCUGCUGAAAACGGAUUUAUGCAAAACGCCUGCCACCAACCCACCCUGCUGCCACACACACGCCCACGUGUGCAGGGAGGCCUUUUACAGUGUCAAGGAGCAGUGUGUUCUGUGGAACAACGGAGAAAGCUCAACGCUUAUUGAACAGAAGUCCCUGGGACUCUCACCCACUGCUUUUAGCUUCUAAAGCAACACAUCAAAAGUUUACUCACUUCCAAAUGACAACCCUUCAAGUGUUGGAAAACAACAAUCUGGUCCCUCUUCAGACUUCCCUCCUCCUGGCAGCAUGUCCUCAGUUCCUUCAGAAUGGAAAGAAUCGAGCAAUUCUUGACUACCUGUUAUACAUGCCAAGUGGCUUAGAUGGAGGGUGUGAUCAUCUUCAAAUUCCCUGUGAGUAUCUGCAUCGCAGAUAGGGAAACUGUGGCUCAGGGAAUUGAAAUAACUUAGCCUAAGAUCCUAAGGUUAAUAAAGCAAGUUUGACUAAGCCCCUGGGCUUUCUGCUCCUCCAUGCUGUUCGCGAGGUGUGUGGUCUUCGGGGGACCCUGCAGCCCACCCUGCCUUAUGCUCCCUGCGUGCUCAAACAUGCACCCAGGAUGUGCUACUGAGAACUGGACAUGACAUCAUGACUUCCAAUAGCCCGUUAGAAUAUUUUACCUUACUCGAUCCUCUCUCCAAACCACCGAAUAUGUAAGAAAGGCAUUAGCUCUCACAUAUUACAGAUCAGGAAACUGAGGCUCAGUACAAUGGAUGCCCCCCCUCCCUCCAGAUCAACCAAUCUUUAAGUGGAAGAAUUGGGAUGCAAACCCAAAUCUUCACAUUCAGCGUGUCUUUCCCGUUGCUCAAGAUGCCCACCCAUGAUCCAGAAUCUCACCAGCAUUAAGAACUGGUCCACCCUAGUUAAUCUGGACCUAAGUACCAUAAUUGUUAAUACAUGGCCCCAAAUGGCCUUAGCUCCUUUAGCAGCCUAUAGGACACUACUGCCUUAUGCAGAUUCUGUUAGGAGUAGUCCCCCAAAUCUCGUUUUACAAAAACUGCUGUGACAUCACAGCUUCUCUUUGUGCCACCGAGUUUACAUUGAUCUUUGUGAAACUGCUUCUUUCCUCCAUUCCAGUGGACUCUAUUCCCAGCUCCUGCCCAGAAGAGUAUUUUAGAUUACCCCUGUGUCUUCCAAUGCAGUAGAUCCAAUGUAGUUAGAACUGGGUAACGGGCACCCUUGACACGCCUCUGUUUGCUCUCACGGUGGAUCUGUUGAUGACACUGGGGAAAGCACACCACUGAGGACUGAGCCUGAGGGUGUGAGUUCCAAAAGCUCAGGGUCCUGAGGAAACACAGUUGCAGAGAAGGGAAAUCGGUGUGUAUUCAGAUGCCACCACUGCACCAUGACUGGGAUAACUGUGGGUGUGUGCUGGGGGGAGCAGCCCCCCGGAGAUAUAUUCUCUCUCUACAGUGGGGGCAGGUUGAUGGAUUUGGGGGGAAUGAGACACACGUGGAGACAUUCCCCCAUAUCCUCCUAACAUAAAAUCUUUCCCCUAGAUAAUUACAGACUGUGCUCAAGGUCACAGUGAAGGUCAUUCAAUACCAGUGUUUUUCCCCCGCCUUUGCCUCAUCGGGGGAAUUCAAGUUGCUUGGAAAUAUCCCAUCGCAGCUGCCUGCCUUUGGAGCUUGCUCUCAACUGAAGGAGACCCCCUUUUCCAGCCCCACCCCACACUCAGCUUGCCUCUCUCUAAUUGCUUAGCACUCUUUCCUUUUCCUGUCACCACGCUCUCCCAAACAGAUGGUGUUUAUAGACAGGAAAGAAGCGGAAGUUAUUCAGCUGCAAGACUGGUAAUCGAUACCCAGAAACCGACCCUCUGAAGAUGACAGUCAGAGGAGGGUCCUCAUGGACGCAGCCACUAAAACAGCUCAGAGCAGAGACCGAUGAGCCUGGCCUGGGCUGUGUCCCAGGGAUAGGAUGACAGCCUCUUGUUCUUGUAGCCAGUUAAGUGGGAUAAACAUAUGUGUUUCCUGCUGGCUUUUCCCUAUUUCUCCCUGGACUUUAUGGCUGUGUGUGUGAAAGUUUUAUGUUCGUGAAGCCAGAGGCAGAGACCCGCCUCUUCCUGAGCUGGUGGGCAAUCACCCCACUAGGGGCUGUUUGUUGAACUCCUGCGUGAUUGUACUCUGCUUCUCACGUGUUGUUGUGGAGACUCAAGAAAAAUCCUCAGCUGCUCUUCAGUUGCUGAGAGGAGGCUGUGCUGUCAGGACAGCGGCCCUCUGAGAACUGUCCCAGGCAAAGGUAGAAAUAAGACGAGAGGCAGAGAGGGAGUGAGGCGGGCAGUAUAUUAGUGUUGAUAUAUGGGAACUACGGAAUAUCGUUACAUGUGGAAUCUCACACACACACACACACACACACACACGUAUAUUUGAUGCCAGGAAUCUUGGGUUCAGAUGAAAGGGGGGUUUGGGUUUAAGAUGAAAGAGGGCACUGAUUUUGAACCAGCUGCCAGGAGGGUUGGAAUGGAGGGAACCAGCAGUGCUUAGGGAGUGUGGGGUGGCAUGGGGGCCCCAGGUGCUGAGGGAGAUCAUGGAAAAGGACAUAGGUUCCCCUAUAACCCCAGGAUGGCGGGUUGCUAGGACAGACAGGUUUCCUAGUGGGUCAGGGCCCUGUGUGUAAAAGGGUCUGGCAAAGCAUGGGAUUCAGGGGCAGCCUCCAAAUCUUAGCCAAUUCCCAUUUCAGGGACCUCUCUGUGUCCCCCUCUGCUUCCCCAUAAAAAGGUAAUUUCUCUUUUGGUCAAUGCCUAAAAUGUCUGUAGCAGAGAAAUGCUUUUAUACGGCAAUUUGAGAUAAGGCUUAAAACGCAGCAGGGCCCACAAAGGGAGGUGACACCACACAGAGAUGGAAGUACAGGCUUUGGAUUCUGUGAGGCCUGGGAUCCAUCCCAGCUCUGACAUUUGCUUCUGAGGUGAUUUCUAUCACUUUUUGAGCCUCAUCUUCUUAAUCUUUAAAUUGAGGACUACAGUUUACACCUUCCUUGUAGGGAUCAAAGGAGCCAAUGCAUUUUUUGUGCAGUCACGUUUGUAAACCAUCAACAAAUAGCAACUGGUACGAGUCCACCCAUGCAAAUGAGUGUAAAAGAUUCAUUCAACACAUAAAUGGCAGAAUUUAUAUAAGAGAACAUGAAAAGAGAACUCAGAGGAGAUUGAGGGGCUUAGAGGCAGAGAAGGAGAAAGAGGGGAAAAGGAAAGGAACACAGCAGCCAAGGCUGGCAAAUGAACACACAGGGAUGCGCAGGCUCAGGGCCCUGCCCAGAGGCACUUCCGGGUCCCAUGAGCGGGUCCAGGACGGCGACCAACCUCAGUGAAGGAUGAUCCUGCUGCCAGUUACGGAAGCAGGUGGCUCGGCUUCCAAUCAUAUCUGUGGAUUUUUGUCUUGAGGAAAGGAACCUCAUUUCCAGGCCAAAUACCAAUUAAAUAGAUUCCAGGUUGAGACUGGUCUCUGCCCUCAAGCCAUAUACUGUAUAUGGGGAUGGGGAGAUUAAGUACCAGCAAACAAUGAGAAGAUGGUGACAGGUUGAACUGGCAGGUCCUGUGGACUAACGGUGCUUUGGUAGCAGGGACUCCAGGGCUGGGGCAGCCAGAGCAAGCGGAGAGGGCAUUCCUGACAGCAGAACAGCAGGAAUAAAACGGGGACCCUGGAUCACUCAGUGGGGGAGACCUGUUCCCCUGAAUUAGGUGCUUGUGUGUGGCGUGGGAUGAGUCAUUCCCAGCCAAGGCCAUACCUUGGGAAGGUCCUCACAGGGCGAAAUUCAGAGUCGGGCUCCCAGGAGUGGUGAAAGACAUGUUGAUUUCUCAGGGGGUGGGGAAGGAAUGAAGGGCAUGGAAGGGCAGGAAUGUCAAGGCAGCUUGUCCAGGAGGAGGGCGACACCUCAGAAAGGAUAGGCAGGACAUACUUGGGUGGGGUCUUGUCAGGUCAAAGCCCACACCUGAGUUAGGAAAACUGGGGUCUCACCAAGUGGAUAGGAGUUUUCCUGCUUGGUCAUUCCUUGUUUAAAGGGCUAAAGAAUUCUACUGCUAAUAAAAAUAUAACUUAACCUAGCUCUCCAUAAAGAUUACAAACUUUUGGGCUUCCAUGGUGGCGCAGUGGUUAAGAAUCCUCCUGCCAAUGCAACGGACACGGGUUCGAGCCGGGGGCUGGGAAGAUCCCACAUGCCACGGAGCAAUGAAGCCCGUGCACCACAGCUACGGAGCCUCCUGCGUUCUAGAGCCCAUGAGCCACAACUACUGAAGCCUGUGUGCCUAGAGCCCGUGCUCUGCAAUGAGAAGCCACCGCAAUGAGAAGCCCACACACCACAACAAAGAGUAGCCCCAGCUCGCCACAAGUAGAGGAAGCCCAGGCGCAGCAACAAAGACCCAACUCAGCCAAAAAUAAAUAAAUUU